rnacentral:rRNA from 1 species
CAGGCUUAACACAUGCAAGUCGAGGGGCAGCAUGGUCUUAGCUUGCUAAGGCCGAUGGCGACCGGCGCACGGGUGAGUAACACGUAUCCAACCUGCCGUCUACUCUUGGACAGCCUUCUGAAAGGAAGAUUAAUACAAGAUGGCAUCAUGAGUCCGCAUGUUCACAUGAUUAAAGGUAUUCCGGUAGACGAUGGGGAUGCGUUCCAUUAGAUAGUAGGCGGGAUAACGGCCCACCUAGUCUUCGAUGGAUAGGGGUUCUGAGAGGAAGGUCCCCCACAUUGGAACUGAGACACGGUCCAAACUCCUACGGGAGGCAGCAGUGAGGAAUAUUGGUCAAUGGGCGAGAGCCUGAACCAGCCAAGUAGCGUGAAGGAUGACUGCCCUAUGGGUUGUAAACUUCUUUUAUAAAGGAAUAAAGUCGGGUAUGGAUACCCGUUUGCAUGUACUUUAUGAAUAAGGAUCGGCUAACUCCGUGCCAGCAGCCGCGGUAAUACGGAGGAUCCGAGCGUUAUCCGGAUUUAUUGGGUUUAAAGGGAGCGUAGAUGGAUGUUUAAGUCAGUUGUGAAAGUUUGCGGCUCAACCGUAAAAUUGCAGUUGAUACUGGAUAUCUUGAGUGCAGUUGAGGCAGGCGGAAUUCGUGGUGUAGCGGUGAAAUGCUUAGAUAUCACGAAGAACUCCGAUUGCGAAGGCAGCCUGCUAAGCUGCAACUGACAUUGAGGCUCGAAAGUGUGGGUAUCAAACAGGAUUAGAUACCCUGGUAGUCCACACGGUAAACGAUGAAUACUCGCUGUUUGCGAUAUACGGCAAGCGGCCAAGCGAAAGCGUUAAGUAUUCCACCUGGGGAGUACGCCGGCAACGGUGAAACUCAAAGGAAUUGACGGGGGCCCGCACAAGCGGAGGAACAUGUGGUUUAAUUCGAUGAUACGCGAGGAACCUUACCCGGGCUUAAAUUGCAGAUGAAUUACGGUGAAAGCCGUAAGCCGCAAGGCAUCUGUGAAGGUGCUGCAUGGUUGUCGUCAGCUCGUGCCGUGAGGUGUCGGCUUAAGUGCCAUAACGAGCGCAACCCUUGUUGUCAGUUACUAACAGGUUCCGCUGAGGACUCUGACAAGACUGCCAUCGUAAGAUGUGAGGAAGGUGGGGAUGACGUCAAAUCAGCACGGCCCUUACGUCCGGGGCUACACACGUGUUACAAUGGGGGGUACAGAGGGCCGCUACCACGCGAGUGGAUGCCAAUCCCCAAAACCUCUCUCAGUUCGGACUGGAGUCUGCAACCCGACUCCACGAAGCUGGAUUCGCUAGUAAUCGCGCAUCAGCCACGGCGCGGUGAAUACGUUCCCGGGCCUUGUACACACCGCCCGUCAAGCCAUGGGAGCCGGGGGUACCUGAAGUGCGUAACCGCGAGGAGCGCCCUAGGGUAAAACUGGUGACUGGGGCUA